AGCGUACACGGUGGAUGCCUAGGCAGUCAGAGGCGAUGAAGGGCGUGCUAAUCUGCGAAAAGCGUCGGUAAGGUGAUAUGAACCGUUAUAACCGGCGAUACCCGAAUGGGGAAACCCAGUGUGUUUCGACACACUAUCAUGUCAUGAAUACAUAGUGGCAUGAGGCGAACCGGGGGAACUGAAACAUCUAAGUACCCCGAGGAAAAGAAAUCAACCGAGAUUCCCCCAGUAGCGGCGAGCGAACGGGGAGGAGCCCAGAACCUGAAUCGGCUUGUGUGUUAGUGGAAGCGUCUGGAAAGUCGCGCAGCAAAGGGUGAUAGCCCCGUACACUAAAAUGCACAGGUCGUGAGUUCGAUGAGUAGGGCGGGACACGUGACAUCCUGUCUGAAUAUGGGGGGACCAUCCUCCAAGGCUAAAUACUCCUGACUGACCGAUAGUGAACCAGUACCGUGAGGGAAAGGCGAAAAGAACCCCGGCGAGGGGAGUGAAAUAGAACCUGAAACCGUGUACGUACAAGCAGUGGGAGCACCUUCGUGGUGUGACUGCGUACCUUUUGUAUAAUGGGUCAGCGACUUAUAUUUUGUAGCAAGGUUAACCGUAUAGGGGAGCCGUAGGGAAACCGAGUCUUAACUGGGCGAUUAGUUGCAAGGUAUAGACCCGAAACCCGGUGAUCUAGCCAUGGGCAGGUUGAAGGUUGGGUAACACUAACUGGAGGACCGAACCGACUAAUGUUGAAAAAUUAGCGGAUGACUUGUGGCUGGGGGUGAAAGGCCAAUCAAACCGGGAGAUAGCUGGUUCUCCCCGAAAGCUAUUUAGGUAGCGCCUCGUGAACUCAUCUUCGGGGGUAGAGCACUGUUUCGGCUAGGGGGCCAUCCCGGCUUACCAAACCGAUGCAAACUCCGAAUACCGAAGAAUGUUAUCACGGGAGACACACGGCGGGUGCUAACGUCCGUCGUGAAGAGGGAAACAACCCAGACCGCCAGCUAAGGUCCCAAAGUCAUGGUUAAGUGGGAAACGAUGUGGGAAGGCACAGACAGCCAGGAUGUUGGCUUAGAAGCAGCCAUCAUUUAAAGAAAGCGUAAUAGCUCACUGGUCGAGUCGGCCUGCGCGGAAGAUGUAACGGGGCUAAACCAUGCACCGAAGCUGCGGCAGCGACGCUUAGGCGUUGUUGGGUAGGGGAGCGUUCUGUAAGCCGUUGAAGGUGGCCUGUGAGGGUUGCUGGAGGUAUCAGAAGUGCGAAUGCUGACAUAAGUAACGAUAAAGCGGGUGAAAAGCCCGCUCGCCGGAAGACCAAGGGUUCCUGUCCAACGUUAAUCGGGGCAGGGUGAGUCGACCCCUAAGGCGAGGCUGAAAAGCGUAGUCGAUGGGAAACAGGUUAAUAUUCCUGUACUUGGUGUUACUGCGAAGGGGGGACGGAGAAGGCUAGGCUGGCCGGGCGACGGUUGUCCCGGUUUAAGCGUGUAGGGGGUGUGACCUGGUAAAUCCGGUUGCAUAUCAACCCUGAGGCGUGAUGACGAUGCACUACGGUGCAGAAGUAGUUGAUGCCCUGCUUCCAGGAAAAUCCUCUAAGCUCCAGGUAACAUUAAAUCGUACCCCAAACCGACACAGGUGGUCAGGUAGAGAAUACCAAGGCGCUUGAGAGAACUCGGGUGAAGGAACUAGGCAAAAUGGUGCCGUAACUUCGGGAGAAGGCACGCUGGCAUGUAGGUGAAGUCCCUCGCGGAUGGAGCUGAAGCCAGUCGAAGAUACCAGCUGGCUGCAACUGUUUAAUAAAAACACAGCACUGUGCAAACACGAAAGUGGACGUAUACGGUGUGACGCCUGCCCGGUGCUGGAAGGUUAAUUGAUGGGGUCAGCCGCAAGGCGAAGCUCUUGAUCGAAGCCCCAGUAAACGGCGGCCGUAACUAUAACGGUCCUAAGGUAGCGAAAUUCCUUGUCGGGUAAGUUCCGACCUGCACGAAUGGCGUAAUGAUGGCCAGGCUGUCUCCACCCGAGACUCAGUGAAAUUGAACUCGCUGUGAAGAUGCAGUGUACCCGCGGCAAGACGGAAAGACCCCGUGAACCUUUACUAUAGCUUGACACUGAACAUUGAGCCUUGAUGUGUAGGAUAGGUGGGAGGCUUUGAAGCGUGGACGCCAGUCUGCGUGGAGCCAUCCUUGAAAUACCACCCUUUAAUGUUUGAUGUUCUAACUCUGCCCCAUAAUCUGGGGUGAGGACAGUGUCUGGUGGGUAGUUUGACUGGGGCGGUCUCCUCCCAAAGAGUAACGGAGGAGCACGAAGGUUAGCUAAUCACGGUCGGACAUCGUGAGGUUAGUGCAAAGGCAUAAGCUAGCUUGACUGCGAGAGUGACGGCUCGAGCAGGUACGAAAGUAGGUCUUAGUGAUCCGGUGGUUCUGAAUGGAAGGGCCAUCGCUCAACGGAUAAAAGGUACUCCGGGGAUAACAGGCUGAUACCGCCCAAGAGUUCAUAUCGACGGCGGUGUUUGGCACCUCGAUGUCGGCUCAUCACAUCCUGGGGCUGAAGUAGGUCCCAAGGGUAUGGCUGUUCGCCAUUUAAAGUGGUACGCGAGCUGGGUUUAGAACGUCGUGAGACAGUUCGGUCCCUAUCUGCCGUGGGCGUUGGAAGAUUGAGAGGGGUUGCUCCUAGUACGAGAGGACCGGAGUGAACGCACCACUGGUGUUCGGGUUGUCAUGCCAAUGGCAUUGCCCGGUAGCUAAGUGCGGAAAAGAUAAGCGCUGAAAGCAUCUAAGCGCGAAACUUGCCUCAAGAUGAGUCUUCCCUGGACCUUUAAGGUCCCUGAAGGAACGUUUAAGACUAAGACGUUGA
rnacentral:rRNA from 1 species